AUAAGAGAUGUGAGAAAGCAGUUAACGUGAAAACGAAACGUUACAUUAACGGGUUGGAAACGAAUAUCGAUCCAAUUUACACGGCCCAGGUUCAACAAGAAUUGACUGUCGCUAAAGAAGAGGCCGCCUAUGAACAAAUACAAGCUGCAGGUAAAGUUCAUUACGACAUCCGGGCAUCUGGUGGCGAUGACGUUGGUGGUAUGGGUGUGGCAUCUAUCAAGGUGAACGGAG